UUCUGCCAGUGUAACUAAAGCCUGUCUGUCCAAAACAAAUUAAGAAUCUAAUAGUAGAAAUUAGAUGAUGUUAUACAAUAAAUGCAUGCAAACAGAUGCUUUAGCUUGAUGCCAAGAAUAGAACACUCAUGCAGAACAUGUGAAAACUACCCAAAAUUUAUAAAUAAGUUAGACAUACAGAUCAAGUUCACAAUCAACUGCAAUUUUUACGGGAAAGAAAACCUCAGAUUAAUUAUGUGGAAUAAGGUAGUUGAGAUAAUUAGCUAGAACAAGAAGCAAGAAUGUCAAAUGUGAUACAUUGUAGACAUGUGAAACAC
rnacentral:misc_RNA from 1 species